rnacentral:snRNA from 1 species
UAUCUUCCCAAGCAGGGGAAGUGCCAUGAUCAUGAAGAUGGUUUUCUGAAGGUGAGGCCCACCCAUUCCACUCUGGGUGUGCUGCCCCCUGCAAUUUCUCCAAAUAUGGAAAGCUGGGUUGUAUAAUUUGUAGUAGGCAGAAGCCAAAUAUCACUAGAACAAAAAUAUGUUUCUAU